rnacentral:rRNA from 1 species
CGCUGGCGGCGUGCCUAAUACAUGCAAGUCGAACGGUCUUUCUAUGGAAGCUGCUCACUGAGAAGAUAGUGGCGAACGGGUGAGUAACACGUGGGUAACCUGCCCAUAAGAGGGGGAUAACAUCCGGAAACGGGUGCUAAUACCGCAUAGUUUUCUUGAUCGCAUGAUUGAGAAAGGAAAGACGGCCUUUGUGCUGUCGCUUAUGGAUGGACCCGCGGCGUAUUAGUUAGUUGGUGAGGUAACGGCUCACCAAGACGAUGAUACGUAGCCGACCUGAGAGGGUGAUCGGCCACAUUGGGACUGAGACACGGCCCAAACUCCUACGGGAGGCAGCAGUAGGGAAUCUUCCGCAAUGGACGAAAGUCUGACGGAGCAACGCCGCGUGAGUGAAAGAAGGUUUUCGGAUCGUAAAACUCUGUUGUCAGAGAAGAACAAGUUGGAGAGUAACUGCUCCAGCCUUGACGGUAUCUGACCAGAAAGCCACGGCUAACUACGUGCCAGCCGCCGC